CCUACGGGAGGCUGCAGUGAGGAAUAUUGGUCAAUGGGCGCGAGCCUGAACCAGCCAAGUCGCGUGAGGGAUGAAGGUUCCAUGGAUCGUAAACUUCUUUUAUAAGGGGAUAAAGUGUGGGACGUGUCCUAUUUUGUAUGUACCUUAUGAAUAAGGAUCGGCUAACUCCGUGCCAGCAGCCGCGGUAAUACGGAGGAUGCGAGCGUUAUCCGGAUUUAUUGGGUUUAAGGGGUGCGUAGGCGGGCUUUUAAGGCAGCGGUGAAAGUCUGUGGCUCAACCAUGGAAUUGCCGUUGAAACUGGGGGGCUUGAGUAUGUUUGAGGCAGGCGGAAUGCGUAGUGUAGCGGUGAAAUGCUUAGAUAGCACGCAGAACCCCGAUUGCGAAGGCAGCCUGCCAAG
rnacentral:rRNA from 1 species